GCAUAUCAAUAAGCGGAGGAAAAGAAACCAACAGGGAUUGCCCCAGUAACGGCGAGUGAAGCGGCAACAGCUCAAAUUUGAAAUCUGGCCCUCGGGUCCGAGUUGUAAUUUGUAGAGGAUGCUUUUGGCGAGGUGCCUUCCGAGUUCCCUGGAACGGGACGCCACAGAGGGUGAGAGCCCCGUAUGGUCGGACACCGAGCCUCUGUAAAGCUCCUUCGACGAGUCGAGUAGUUUGGGAAUGCUGCUCAAAAUGGGAGGUAUAUGUCUUCUAAAGCUAAAUAUUGGCCAGAGACCGAUAGCGCACAAGUAGAGUGAUCGAAAGAUGAAAAGCACUUUGAAAAGAGGGUUAAAAAGUACGUGAAAUUGUUGAAAGGGAAGCGCCUAUGACCAGACUUGGGCCCGGUGAAUCAUCCAGCGUUCUCGCUGGUGCACUUUGCCGGGCACAGGCCAGCAUCAGUUUGGCGCGGGGGAAAAAGGCUUCGGGAAUGUGGCUCCCUCGGGAGUGUUAUAGCCCGCUGCGUAAUACCCUGCGCCGGACUGAGGUACGCGCAUUGCAAGGAUGCUGGCGUAAUGGUCAUCAGCGACCCGUCUUGAAACACGGACCAAGGAGUCGUCUUCGUAUGCGAGUGUUCGGGUGUCAAACCCCUACGCGUAAUGAAAGUGAACGCAGGUGAGAGCUUCGGCGCAUCACCGACCGAUCCUGAUGUUCUCGGAUGGAUUUGAGUAAGAGCAUACGGGGCCGGACCCGAAAGAAGGUGAACUAUGCCUGUAUAGGGUGAAGCCAGAGGAAACUCUGGUGGAGGCUCGCAGCGGUUCUGACGUGCGAAUCGAUCGUCAAAUAUGGGCAUGGGGGCGAAAGACUAAUCGAACCUUCUAGUAGCUGGUUUCCGCCGAA
rnacentral:rRNA from 1 species